UCCCUGGUGGCUCAGAUGGUAAAGCAUCUGCCUGCAAUGCAGGAGACCCAGGUUCGAUCCUCAGGUAGGGAA
rnacentral:tRNA from 1 species